rnacentral:miRNA from 1 species
UAUAUAUAUAUAUAUCUGUUGUUGUCUGCCCAAACUGUGUGUGUGUAUAUAUACACACACACAGUUUGGGCAGACAACAACAGAUUAUCUAC